rnacentral:rRNA from 1 species
GAUGAACGCGGCGGCGUGCUUAACACAUGCAAGUCGAACGGGAUCCCGGGGGUUCGCUUCCGGGUGAGAGUGGCGAACGGGUGAGUAAUGCGUGACCGACCUGCCCCAUACACCGGAAUAGCUCCUGGAAACGGGUGGUAAUGCCGGAUGCUCCGGUUGGAUGCAUGUCCUUCCGGGAAAGAUUCUAUCGGUAUGGGAUGGGGUCGCGUCCUAUCAGCUUGAUGGCGGGGUAACGGCCCACCAUGGCUUCGACGGGUAGCCGGCCUGAGAGGGCGACCGGCCACAUUGGGACUGAGGUACGGCCCAGACUCCUACGGGAGGCAGCAGUGGGGAAUAUUGCACAAUGGGCGCAAGCCUGAUGCAGCGACGCCGCGUGCGGGAUGGAGGCCUUCGGGUUGUAAACCGCUUUUGAUCGGGAGCAAGCCCUUCGGGGUGAGU